rnacentral:rRNA from 1 species
CGUAAACGAUGACACCAGCGAUUAAUCGGCGUUAAUUUAUGACCCGAUUAGCAGCUUCCGGGAAACCAAAGUUUUUCGUUUCCGGGGGAAGUAUGGUUGCAAAGCUGAAACUUAAAGGAAUUGACGGAAGGGCACCACCAGGAGUGGAGCCUGCGGCUUAAUUUGACUCAACACGGGAAAACUCACCCGGCCCGGACACCGUAAGGAUUGACAGACUGAGAGCUCUUUCUUAAUUCGGUGGGUGGUGGUGCAUGGCCGUUCUUAGUUGGUGGAGCGAUUUGUCUGGUUAAUUCCGAUAACGAACGAGACUCUGGCCUAUUAAAUAGUCGGUAUAUCCAGAAAAGUUUACCGUACUUCUUAGAGGGACAAACGGCGUCUAGCCGCGUGAAAUAGAGCAAUAACAGGUCUGUGAUGCCCUUAGAUGUCCGGGGCUGCACGCGCGCUACACUGAAAGAAUCAGUAUGCGCUUUAACCUAGUCCGGAAGGAUUGGGUAACCCGAGCAAAUUCUUUCGUGCUUGGGAUAGGGAAUUGCAAUUAUUUCCCUUAAACGAGGAAUUCCCAGUAAAUGCGGGUCAUAAGCUCGCGUUGAUUACGUCCCUGCCCUUUGUACACACCGCCCGUCGCUACUACCGAUUGGAUGACUUAGUGAGGUCUUAGGACCGACGUAAAGGAGCUUUCGCGAGUUCUUUUUCGUUGGAAAUUUGAUCGAACUACGUUAUCUAGAGGAAGUAAAAGUC